CUUGCUUUCUUUGCCGGCGACCGGCGCACGGGUGAGUAACACGUAUCCAACCUGCCGAUGACUCGGGGAUAGCCUUUCGAAAGAAAGAUUAAUACCCGAUGGCAUAGUUCUUCCGCAUGGUAGAACUAUUAAAGAAUUUCGGUCAUCGAUGGGGAUGCGUUCCAUUAGGUUGUUGGCGGGGUAACGGCCCACCAAGCCUUCGAUGGAUAGGGGUUCUGAGAGGAAGGUCCCCCACAUUGGAACUGAGACACGGUCCAAACUCCUACGGGAGGCAGCAUG
rnacentral:rRNA from 1 species